rnacentral:rRNA from 1 species
GAUGAACGCUGGCGGCGUGCCUAAUACAUGCAAGUCGAGCGAACAGACGAGGAGCUUGCUCCUCUGACGUUAGCGGCGGACGGGUGAGUAACACGUGGAUAACCUACCUAUAAGACUGGGAUAACUUCGGGAAACCGGAGCUAAUACCGGAUAAUAUAUUUAACCGCAUGGUUCAAUAGUGAAAGACGGUUUUGCUGUCACUUAUAGAUGGAUCCGCGCCGCAUUAGCUAGUUGGUAAGGUAACGGCUUACCAAGGCAACGAUGCGUAGCCGACCUGAGAGGGUGAUCGGCCACACUGGAACGGAGACACGGUCCAGACGCCUACGAGAGGCAGCAGUAGGGAAUCUGCCGCAAUGGGCGAAAGCCUGACGGAGCAACGCCGCGUGAGUGAUGAAGGUCUUCGGAUCGUAAAACUCUGUUAUUAGGGAAGAACAAAUGUGUAAGUAACUAUGCACGUCUUGACGGUACCUAAUCAGAAAGCCACGGCUAACUACGUG